rnacentral:rRNA from 1 species
CAGAUGGAUAACCGGGAGAAAUCCCGCCUAAUACAACAUAAUGCCGGGAGGGGACAUCCCCUGCCGGCCAAAGGGGGCGACCCCGGUCACGGAUGGGCAUGCGGCGCAUUAGGUAGUUGGUGGGGCAACGGCCCACCAAGCCGACGAUGCGUAGGGGUUCUGAGAGGAAGGUCCCCCACAUUGGAACUGAGACACGGUCCAAACUCCUACGGGAGGCAGCAGUGAGGAAUAUUGGUCAAUGGCCGGAAGGCUGAACCAGCCAAGUCGCGUGAGGGAAUAAGGCCCUACGGGUCGUAAACCUCUUUUGCCAGGGAGCAAUGCCGUCCACGUGUGGACGGAAGGAGAGUACCUGGAGAAAAAGCAUCGGCUAACUCCGUGCCAGCAGCCGCGGUAAUACGGAGGAUGCGAGCGUUAUCCGGAUUUAUUGGGUUUAAAGGGUGCGUAGGCGGCCUGCCAAGUCAGCGGUAAAAUUGCGGGGCUCAACCCCGUACAGCCGUUGAAACUGCCGGGCUCGAGUGGGCGAGAAGUAUGCGGAAUGCGUGGUGUAGCGGUGAAAUGCAUAGAUAUCACGCAGAACCCCGAUUGCGAAGGCAGCAUACCGGCGCCCUACUGACGCUGAGGCACGAAAGUGCGGGGAUCAAACAGGAUUAGAUACCCUGGUAGUCCGCACAGUAAACGAUGAAUGAUAGCUGUCCGGGGGGAUUGACCCCUGGGUGCACAG